GAUGAACGCUGGCGGCGUGCCUAACACAUGCAAGUCGAGCGAACUCCUCGGGGUGAGCGGCGGACGGGUGAGUAACGCGUGGGUAACCUGCCCUAUACACACGGAUAACGUACCGAAAGGCACGCUAAUACGGGAUAAAGUUGUUGGAUGGCAUCUUCUAACAAUCAAAGCUCCGGCGGUAUAGGAUGGACCCGCGUCUGAUUAGCUAGUUGGUGAGGUAAUGGCUCACCAAGGCGACGAUCAGUAGCCGACCUGAGAGGGUGAUCGGCCACACUGGAACUGAGACACGGUCCAGACUCCUACGGGAGGCAGCAGUGGGGAAUAUUGCACAAUGGGCGAAAGCCUGAUGCAGCAACGCCGCGUGAGCGAUGAAGGUCUUCGGAUCGUAAAGCUCUGUCAUCAAGGAAGAUAAUGACGGUACUUGAGGAGGAAGCCCCGGCUAACUACGUGCCAGCCGCCGCAGUAA
rnacentral:rRNA from 1 species